rnacentral:rRNA from 1 species
UACGUAGGGUGCAAGCGUUGUCCGGAAUUAUUGGGCGUAAAGAGCUUGUAGGCGGUUUGUCGCGUCUGCUGUGAAAUUUCGGGGCUCAACCCCGAACUUGCAGUGGGUACGGGCAGACUAGAGUGUGGUAGGGGAGACUGGAAUUCCUGGUGUAGCGGUGAAAUGCGCAGAUAUCAGGAGGAACACCGAUGGCGAGGGCAGGUCUCUGGGCCAUAACUGACGCUGAGAAGCGAAAGCAUGGGGAGCGAACAGG